GACGAACGCUGGCGGCGUGCUUAACACAUGCAAGUCGAACGGUAAGGCCCUUCGGGGUACACGAGUGGCGAACGGGUGAGUAACACGUGGGUGAUCUGCCCUGCACUUCGGGAUAAGCCUGGGAAACUGGGUCUAAUACCGGAUAGGACCACUGCCUGCAUGGGUGGGGGUGGAAAGCUUUUGCGGUGUGGGAUGGGCCCGCGGCCUAUCAGCUUGUUGGUGGGGUGAUGGCCUACCAAGGCGACGACGGGUAGCCGGCCUGAGAGGGUGACCGGCCACACUGGGACUGAGAUACGGCCCAGACUCCUACGGGAGGCAGCAGUGGGGAACAUUGCACAAUGGGCGCAAGCCUGAUGCAGCGACGCCGCGUGAGGGAUGACGGCCUUCGGGUUGUAAACCUCUUUCAGCACCGACGAAGCGCAAGUGACGGUAGGUGCAGAAGAAGGACCGGCCAACUACGUGCCAGCCGCCGCAGUAA
rnacentral:rRNA from 1 species